UGUGGAUGAUGACACUUCUGUUCCUGACUUCACUCUGGGGUAAAAGCUGAUUUAAUGAGCCUGAUGC